GCAGAACAAUUGAGAUAGAUCUUACAUAUAACUAGCCUUUUAAGGGGAAAAAAAAAAGCUCUCGGUUUCAGUUCUUCAACAAUAUUCGACUCACAGCAAUGCGACUUCCCCAUAAGAAACUCCGAACAUCAUUACCUCCCAGCAGCGUAUUGCAGCUUAGUUUCAUUGGAUUGGGGUCAUAUCUGGUUUGUUGCACUCAGUAUUUCUUUGCUGGAGAGGAGCUGACUCCAACAUAGAUAGAUGUUCCAGAGGCCAGCCAACAGUAUCCUCUACUUAGAUCAGAAGAGCUCCAUUUGCAAAUUGCAAGCUGGUAGUUAUUUUGUUACUAAACUAAGAUGGAUAAGUUCAACUGACUUGUCAGUGAUGCCCAUUUAUGAUGCAUGUUCAUCUUCUAAUAUGUUUCCAUUUCAUUUUAUUAGUUAAUUUGGAUUUUUUCUUUCACCUUUUAAAUGUUUUAUCAUUUACUCAAUGCUUAUGGCUUAUGCUGCUCAGGUUUUCAUUUUAUUCAGCGAUAGUUCAAUGUACAUCCUUUGUCCAAUUGUUUCAUUUGAAAGGUACUUUAUUCCUCAUGUCCUGCCCUUUUGCAUUCUAGUCCUAAUUUAUUUAUUUUUUAGUCUUUGGAUUUUGUCCCUCUAAAUCUGCCUCUGUGUGUGUGAAUAUAUAUAUUUGACAGAUUAGCAUGGUCUUAUAAACAGAUCAAUCAAAACAAUUUGGCCAAUUUUCUCUUCACCUAUAUCUUUUGUCUGUGUGAGUAAGAUGUUUUGAUGUUUUGUUGUAAUUUAUGAGGUUCUGAAUUACAUGUUAACUGAUAUUUAUAUUGGAGUGUUUUAUUUUAUACUAGGAAUCGAUAGUAGAUAUAUAUAAUGAUGCCCAGACUUUUGGCCUAAAGUCACUCAACUCAACUGCUGUUAGUAAUUCAAAUCUAGCUAUUUCUUGGUUGGAAGCAACAUUUCCAGAAUUGCAGGGCAAACAGAUGGCGCUAAUCUAUAUGUAAUAAGAGCUAGUCUUUAUGCUUUUAUUUGAUACCACUCCCUAUGCUAGACCGAGAGACUGGUGGAUCAUUCAGAGGCUAGCCAUGUAGUCCGUAAUCUGUGGGGAUAGGUUGUAUAGAAAAGUUAACCCGGUUGCAUCACUCAUUGCAGGUAACUGUAUUUUCUUACAUAUAGCAGAUCUAUGGAUGUUGUGUGUGAAUUAGCAAUGUCAAGCAAGGCAUGACAUAUCCAUGUAAAACAAGCCAAUUCAUGAUUCACACACUAUUUUGUGUCAGUUCAGAAUUUCCAAUUGCAAGGAGAGACUCUCUUCAACGCUCCCUGUUUGGGAAUAUGUAUCUACCACCGCCAGCACUCUUGUGCUUAGGUCUGAUAUGAUUGGGAAUAGUUUUUGAUUUCUUUUUGUUACUAGAACUGCAUGAGAAUCUUUAUGGCAGAAUGUUUGCAAAGUCAUUCACUCAAUAAAUUUCAAUUAUGAAAGCAUUGUAAAUGUGAUUACUUGAAGUAGUUCUCUAUUAAUAUAUUGCAAUUUUAUUUCAA